rnacentral:rRNA from 1 species
UACGAAGGGGGCUAGCGUUGUUCGGAAUUACUGGGCGUAAAGCGCACGUAGGCGGAUUGUUAAGUUAGGGGUGAAAUCCCGGGGCUCAACCCCGGAACUGCCUUUAAUACUGGCAAUCUCGAGUCCGAGAGAGGUGAGUGGAAUUCCGAGUGUAGAGGUGAAAUUCGUAGAUAUUCGCAAGAACACCAGUGGCGAAGGCGGCUUACUGGUCCGGUUCUGACGCUGAGGCGCGAAAGCGUGGGGAGCAAACAGG